rnacentral:rRNA from 1 species
UAACCCAGAAAGGCCACGGCUAACUACGUGCCAGCAGCCCGCGGUAAAUACGUAGGUGGCAAGCGUUGUCCGGGAAAUUAUUGGGGCGUAAAAGGGCUCGCAGGCGGUUUCUUAAGUCUGAUGUGAAAGCCCCCGGGCUCAACCCGGGGAGGGUCAUUGGAAACUGGGAAACUUGAGUGCAGAAGAGGAGAGUGGAAUUCCACGUGUAGCGGUGAAAUGCGUAGAGAUGUGGAGGAACACCAGUGGCGAAGGCGACUCUCUGGUCUGUAACUGACGCUGAGGAGCGAAAGCGUGGGGAGCGAACAGGAUUAGAUACCCUGGUAGUCCACGCCGUAAACGAUGAGUGCUAAGUGUUAGGGGGUUUCCGCCCCUUAGUGCUGCAGCUAACGCAUUAAGCACUCCGCCUGGGGAGUACGGUCGCAAGACUGAAACUCAAAGGAAUUGACGGGGGCCCGCACAAGCGGUGGAGCAUGUGGUUUAAUUCGAAGCAACGCGAAGAACCUUACCAGGUCUUGACAUCCUCUGACAACCCUAGAGAUAGGGCUUUCCCUUCGGGGACAGAGUGACAGGUGGUGCAUGGUUGUCGUCAGCUCGUGUCGUGAGAUGUUGGGUUAAGUCCCGCAACGAGCGCAACCCUUGAUCUUAGUUGCCAGCAUUCAGUUGGGCACUCUAAGGUGACUGCCGGUGACAAACCGGAGGAAGGUGGGGAUGACGUCAAAUCAUCAUGCCCCUUAUGACCUGGGCUACACACGUGCUACAAUGG